rnacentral:rRNA from 1 species
CCUACGGGUGGCAGCAGUGAGGAAUAUUGGUCAAUGGGCGAGAGCCUGAACCAGCCAAGUCGCGUGAAGGAUGACGGCCCUACGGGUUGUAAACUUCUUUUGUCAGGGAGCAAUUUAGUCCACGUGUGGGCUUAUCGAGAGUAUCUGAAGAAAAAGCAUCGGCUAACUCCGGCCCAGCAGCCGCGUUAUUACGGAGGAUGCGAGCGUUAUCGGGAUUUAUUGGGUUUAAGGGGGGCGUAGGCGGAAUAUCAAGUCAGCGGUAAAUGUUCGGGGCUAAACCCGGUCGUGCCGUUGAAACUGGUGUUCUUGAGUGGGCGAGAGGUAUGCGGAAUGCGUGGUGUAGCGGUGAAAUGCAUAGAUAUCACGCAGAACUCCGAUUGCGAAGGCAGCAUACCGGCGCCCAACUGACGCUGAAGCACGAAAGCGUGGGUAUCGAACAGGAUUAGAUACCCUGGUAGUC